UACAGAGGUCUCAAGCGUUGUUCGGAUUCAUUGGGCGUAAAGGGUGCGUAGGUGGCGCUGUAAGUCGGGUGUGAAAUUUCGGAGCUUAACUCCGAAACUGCAUUCGAUACUGCGGUGCUUGAGGACUGGAGAGGAGACUGGAAUUCAUGGUGUAGCAGUGAAAUGCGUAGAGAUCAUGAGGAAGACCAGUGGCGAAGGUGGGUCUCUGGGCCGAUACUGACGCUGAGGAGCGAAAGCGUGGGGAGCGAACAGG
rnacentral:rRNA from 1 species